GCCCUUAGAGUUUGAUCCUGGCUCAGGAUGAACGCUGGCGGUAUGCUUUACACAUGCAAGUCGUACGAGAGUUUUUAACUCAAGUGGCGGACGGGUGAGUAACCACGUAAGAAUUUGCUUUUAGGAGGGGGAUAACAACUGGAAACGGUUGCUAAUACCCCAUUAUGCUUUCGAGUAAAAUUGAUUUUCCGCCNUAAAGAAGAAGCUUGCGGCUGAUUAGCUUGUUGGUGAGGUAAUGGCUCACCAAGGCGACGAUCAGUUUUUUGUUUUGAGAGGACGAUCAGACACACUGGAACUGAGACACGGUCCAGACUCUUACGGGAGGCAGCAGUGGGGAAUUUUUCCGCAAUGGGCGAAAGCCUGACGGAGCAAUACCGCGUGAGGGAUGACGGCCUAUGGGUUGUAAACCUUCUUUUUUCAGGGAGGAAUCAAUGACGUGUACCUGAAGAAUAAGCAUCGGCUAACUCCGUGCCAGCAGCCGCGGUAAGACGGAGGAUGCAAGUGUUAUCCGGAAAUCACUGGGCGUAAAGCGUCUGUAGGUGGUCAAAUAAGUCAACUGUUAAAUCUUGAGGCUCAACCUCAAAAUCGCAGUCGAAACUAUUCGACUAGAGUAUAGUAGGGGUAAAGGGAAUUUCCAGGUGGAGGGGGUGAAAUGCGUAGAGAUUGGAAAGAACACCGAUGGCGAAGGCACUUUACUGGGCUAUUACUAACACUGAGAGACGGAAAGCUAGGGUGGCAAAUGGGGAUUAGAUACCCCAGUAGUCCUGGCCGUAAACAAUGGAUACUAGAUGUUGAACAGAUCGACCUGUGCAGUAUCAAAGCUAACGCGUUAAGUAUCCCGCCUGGGAAGUAUGCUCGCAAGAGUGAAGCUCAAAUGAAUUGACGGGGAAGGGC
rnacentral:rRNA from 1 species